GGGUUUCCUAAGCAGUCCUGCAGGGGUUUUCAUCCACAUGUCAGUGUUGGACAUACCAGGACAGCUCUCCUGUUUUCUUCAAGAGAACCUGAAGUCAAAAAGCUGUUGUCCUGUGAAGCUGGUGCUGCUCCAUGGUCAGUCUCAUCGGGAAAGGUGUACUGAGGUUCCACCAACCACAACCAUCUCCCGUGUGCUAGAUAGGGAAUAUCUCCUCGCAGUCCGCGAGCCAGUAGCCAGUGAGUGCGAGAGAGAUGGUAAAUACAGUGCAUGGGAACGUGCAACACACUAGAGAAGCUCAAGUCAACAAGAUCAAUUGAGCCAUAGACUACGACACGGAAGAGGAGCUCACUGGCCCUGUGUCGCAUUAAAUCACACCUUACAUUGCCAGACUGUAAGAAGACAUCAACCUUUUUCUGUGAGUAAUGCGAAUUUGGAGAAACUUGGACUGAGCGCAUUUUUUUCACUCACCUGGGAUAUCAUUUAAAAAAUCGACUGCGCAUUGCCCUGAAAUUGCUGAAAAUGAAACCUUUGCCUUUGACACUUAUAUCAUUGACCAACCAUCAAAUGACUUUAAUGAGGUACAGGCAAAAAGUGGUUCAAUUAACAACGGUCGGGAAGAGUAUGUAGAAGCUGAGUCUCUGGAACAUAAAAUUGCAUCUCUUUUUGAUGGUGAUGAAUGUUGAAAUUGGUCAUCAGAUGUACAUGUACACUAUUUUAAAUGCCUGUUUUAAAAGUUUACACUGGACUUGCAUGAUUCCAUCUUGAAUGAUACAGUCAUGUGUUUCUUUAAUGUUUGUUGAAAAUAAACAUGGAAAUUGAAGCGGU